rnacentral:lncRNA from 8 species
GCCAGUUCCGGUUACCGGGCUCCUCGGACAUGGAGAGGAGCUAGACGUGCACCUUGUUAUGCCAUCACUCAAGAGCAACUGAGGUUUCUGAUGUCCUGUGCUUUCAGUGUGUCUCAGAUGGCAGAUAUUCUACGUGUCCUGAUCAACAGUCAAACGUCGUCUAAGACACUUCAAUCUGUCACAUGCACCGUUAUAUUCUGACAUGUCAGACUUGGCUCUGGAUGAAAAGAUUAAGGACUUGGUGGCUGGGAACGACAAACUUGGACCAGAGGCUGUUCGAGCACAAUUAAGGGCAUUGGGAAUCCGGGUGCAGAGACACAGAGUGAGGGACAGCAUGAUUCGUGUUAACCCGAGGGCGGCUGCCCUCAGAACCAUGUCGCAGAGGCUGCAUAGGUCAUACCGUGUUGCUGGACCAAACUCGUUAUGGCACCUUGAUGGAAACCACAAACUGAUAAGGUGGAGGAAAGUAAUACAUGGUGGCAUUGAUGGGUACAGCCGUCUUGUUGUUUCUCAGUGCUUCCAGCAACAAUCGCAGCAGUACUGUAAUGGAUUGCUUCAUGAAUGCUGUCUCCAGAUAUGGCGUUUCCUCCAGAGUUAGGAUGGACCAUGGAGGAGAAAACAACGUUUUCUGCUUGUUGAAUGUAAUACAUAUUGAAAAUAUUAUUUAAAAAAUAGAGCUACUGUCACGGUUGUCGUCUGGAAUGGAGGACAAAAACGCAGCAGGAAUGUGGAUGCUCAUCUUGAUUUAUUUAUAAAAUAAAGUGAACACCAAAAAUAAUAAACAACGAAGAACUCACGAACAACAAACAGUCAUGUAAGGCUCACACAGGCAAAACAAGAAACAAUCUCCCACAAACACUAAACCAAACAAUUACCCAUAUAUAGGACUCUCAAUCAGAGGCAACGAGAAAGCACCUGCCUCCAAUUGAGAGUCCAACCCCCCAUUAACCUACACAUAGAAAUACACCAACCCAGAAAGAACAUAAAAGUACAAAACAUAGAACAUAAACCAAAACCCGGAAAUAAUAAAUCAAACGCCCUACUAAAUAAACCACCACCCCGAACCACAUAAAACAAAUACCCUCUGCCACGUCCUGACCAAACUACAAUAACAAAUAACCCUUAUACUGGUCAGGACGUGACAGCUACAUGCAUCCUUAAAAUGUCUUCUUGACCUACACAUUGAUUACAUUCUAUAGUGAGUGAUGCAUGCGGCUACAUUUUUUUUUCUGUAAAUCAUUUUCAGAACUCAAUCACCUCAUGUUUGACAGCUUUAUUGCUUUCUCCAUGUUUUUGAAAUGUAUAAGCCUUUAAAUGACCUUUUACAGACUACUUCUACAAAGGAGGCUACACUUGUGGCAGCACCUAUUCCUGUGCCCAAAAUGACACACGACAGUUCCGUAAGGUAACAUUGACUAUACGAAAAACAACCACCCACAAACCCAAAGGAAAAAACAGGCUGCCUAAGUAUGGCUUCCAAUCAGAGACAAAAAAAGACACCUGCCUCUGAUUGGAAACCAUACUCGGCCACACAUAGAAAAUGAACAUAGAAAAUGAAAACUAGAACAAAUCCCCAUGAAACAAACCAACCCCAAAACACACCAAAACAACACCCCCUGCCACACCCUGACCAUACUACAAUGACAAAUGACCCCUUUUACUGGACAGGACGUGACAACCUCCUGUGCCAGAACUGAAAGAAAUUGCAGAAUAUGACUUCAGAGAGAAAUUGGAGAAGGUAUCUAACUUUAUACUGUGAUGGAUGUUAUGUUACUGUUAAUUUGAAAAAAUAUUAGCGCUGUAGUUGAAUACUUUUCCACAUGGAUUUAGUUUCCUUUUGUUGGCAGUCAAUCUUUUUUAAGGGUAGUGAUAAUCAGUUUGUUUUGCUAAUUAGUUCAAUAAACAGUGUUUUGGGACAAUCUAAGAUCCAGCUCGCACAAACUUGACGAGGCACAGGAAGCGGUCAUGUUGGGUUCAGUGUGAUACAUUCGUACAUUGGAGAGGGACAAAGUUCUACUUAGAAAGCAGGAUACGGGAUGCUCUUGAGCAGUGAGUUUCCAUAUAUCUAUGGAAUCUCAAGUGUAGUUAAAUUCUUCAGGGCAAAUUCAUUGACAUUUUUUACUUUAUAGAUUCAAAGAGGGUCUAGAGUGUCUCGGUCUCCUGCCUUACAUGAAUAGACACUCAAGCCUCUUCAGAAGUUUUCAUCUAUGCUGAGAAGUCUCUUUUUGCCAAAGACAUAGCUUCUCUCUUCAAAGCAGAGCGCUCCCCACCUGGUACCAAUUAAAGAGCAAUAGAGAAGAGUCAUAUGUUUCUGGUGGGACUGGCUGCUGGAUGUGGAAGGUUAGAUGCAAAACCAUGAUCAUUGAAGUAACACGGCCCACAUCAGUAAAAUAUAUCACCUGAUCACUCUCACAACUGUGGGACAGCAUGUUAUAGCCUUAUUCUUCCAUGGGCCCCCUAAGAACGUAAUAGAUCAAUUAAAUCCAAAACUAUUUUCACUUAGAGUAUUGUGUUCUCAAAUAAGUGUUACUUAUGGACUUUAAUGUCCCCUUCCCUUUUUUCAGGGGGGGGGAACACAUACCCUUUAACCAUGGAGAAGGUUUUCAUUUUCACUUCAGGGGCUUCAGCAUUCCUAGGCUGGGAUUGCCAGUGGAGCCACAGCUACAGUUCUCUCUGCUACCGCACGGUAAGCGGUACCGGAGCGCCAAGUCUAGGUCCAAGAGGCUUCUAAACAGAUUCUACCCCCAAGCCAUAAGACUACUGAACAUCUAAUCAAAUGGCUACCCAGACUAUUUGCUGCUACUCUAUCUAUGCAUAGUCACUUUAAUAUCUCCACCUACAUGUAUAUAUUUACUCAACUUACCGGUGCCCCGCAUAUUCUCUGUACCGGUAUCCCCUGUAUAUAGCCUCGCUAUUGUUAUUUUACUGCUGCUCUUUAUUUGUUACUUUCAUUUAUUUUUCGUAGUUAAAAAAAAAAAAUGUUUAACCUCAUUGUUGGUUAAGGGCUUGUAAGCAUUUCGCUGUAAGGUCUACACCUGUUGUAUUCGGCGCAUGUGACAAAUACAAUUUGAUUUAAAGGGAAUUAUCCAAAAUGUUUAUUGCAUGACUACCUAGUAAUUUCGGGAUACUGCAGCCAAAGGGAUACUGCAGCCUACUCCACCAGCCAGCAGUACUGUAUCAUUUUAGUCAAUAACAUUUUUGCAACGUAAGCUUAACUUCCUGAACAUUCGAGACGUGUAGUCCACUUGUCACUCCAAUCUCAUUUGCAUUAGCGUAGCC